rnacentral:rRNA from 1 species
CCUACGGGACGCAGCAGUAGGGAAUCUUCCACAAUGGACGAAAGUCUGAUGGAGCAACGCCGCGUGAGUGAAGAAGGGUUUCGGCUCGUAAAGCUCUGUUGGUAGUGAAGGGAGAUAGAGGUAGUAACUGGACUUUAUUUGACGGUAACUACUUAGAAAGUCACGGCUAACUACGUGCCAGCAGCCGCGGUAAUACGUAGGUGGCAAGCGAUGUCCGGAUUUAUUUGGCGUAAAGCGAGUGCAGGCGGG